GACGAACGCUGGCGGCGUGCUUAACACAUGCAAGUCGAACGGACAGGCCCUGCUUUUGUGGGGUUCUCGAGUGGCGAACGGGUGAGUAACACGUGAGUAACCUGCCCUUGACUUUCUGAUAACUUCAGGAAACUGGGGCUCAUACCGGAUAUGAUCUCCUGCUGCAUGUUGUGGGUUGGAAAGUUUCGGCGGUUGUGGAUGGUCUCGCAGCUUCUCAGCUUGUUGGUGGGGUAGUUGCUUACCAAGGCUUUGACGGGUAGCCGGCCUGAGAGGGUGACCGGGCACAUUAGGACUGAGAUAGGGACCAGAAGCCUACGGGAGGCAGCAGGGGGGAAUAUGACACAAUGGGCGGAAGCCUGAUGCAGCAACGCCGGGUGCGGGAUGACGGCCUUCGGGGUGUAAACAGAUUUCGAAUGUGACGAAGAGUGAGUGACGGUAAUGGGUAAAGAAGCAACGGCUAACUACGUG
rnacentral:rRNA from 1 species